rnacentral:rRNA from 1 species
AAAGAUUAAGCCAUGCAUGUCUAAGUAUAAACGAUCUAAUCGUGAAACCGCGAAUGGCUCAUUAUAACAGCUAAAAUCUACUUGAUCUUGACACAAUCCUACUUGGAUAACUGUGGUAAUUCUAGAGCUAAUACAUGCAUUAAAGCUCUGACCUCACGGGAAGAGUGCACUUAUUAGAACAAAACCAAGCGGCUUCGGCUGUUUCUGGUUGACUCAUAGUAACUGAGCUGAUCGCACGGUCUUGCACCGGCGACGUGUCUUUCGAGUAUCUGCCGUAUCAACUUUCGAUGGUAGUGUAUCUGACUACCAUGGUGAUCACGCGUAACGGAGAAUAAGGGUUCGGCUCCGGAGAGUUCGCCUGAGAAAUCGCGAACACAUCUAAGGAAGGCAGCAGGCGCGAAAAUUACCCACUCUCAGCACGAGGAGGUAGUGACGAAAAAUAACGAGACCGUUCUCUUAUGAGGCCGGUCAUCGGAAUGGGUACAAUUUAAACCCUUUAACGAGUAUCUAUGAGAGGGCAAGUCUGGUGCCAGCAGCCGCGGUAAUUUCAGCUCUCAAAGUGCAUAGAAUUAUUGCUGCGGUUAAAAAGCUCGUAGUUGGAUCUGUGCCAUAGGACGUGGUCCACCUUCUGGGUGCGUACUAUGUUCCUAGGCUUUUUGCUGGUUUUCCCGUCGUAGCCUUAACUGGUUGCGGCGGGUGGCUGGCGAGUUUACUUUGAGAAAAUCAGAGUGCUCAACACAGGCGUAUCGCUUGAAUGAUUGUGCAUGGAAUAAUAGAAAAGGAUUUCGGUCCUCUUUUAUUGGUUUGUGGACUGAGAUAAUGGUUAACAGGGACCAACGGGGGCAUUCGUAUCGCUGCGUGAGAGGUGAAAUCUUGGACCGAGCGAGACGCCUACUGCGAAACAUUUGCCAGAAUG